UGCGGGGUAGAGCAGUGGUCAGCUCGUGAGUUUCAUAAGCUCAAGGUCGUUGGUUCGAAUCCAGCCCCACGCAA
rnacentral:tRNA from 1 species